GACGAACGCUGGCGGCGUGCCUAAUACAUGCAAGUCGAGCGGACUUAAAAAGCUUGCUUUUUAAGUUAGCGGCGGACGGGUGAGUAACACGUGGGCAACCUGCCUGUGAGACUGGGAUAACUUCGGGAAACCGGAGCUAAUACCGGAUAAUCCUUUCCUACUCAUGUAGGAAAGCUGAAAGACGGUUUACGCUGCCACUUACAGAUGGGCCCGCGGCGCAUUAGCUAGUUGGUGAGGUAACGGCUCACCAAGGCGACGAUGCGUAGCCGGCCUGGGAGGGGGAUCGGCCACACUGGGACUGAGACACGGCCCAGACUCCUACGGGAGGCAGCAGUAGGGAAUCUUCCGCAAUGGACGAAAGUCUGACGGAGCAACGCCGCGUGAGUGAUGAAGGUUUUCGGAUCGUAAAACUCUGUUGUUAGGGAAGAACAAGUACGAGAGUAACUGCUCGUACCUUGACGGUACCUAACCAGAAAGCCACGGCUAACUACGUGCCAGCCGCCGCCGUAA
rnacentral:rRNA from 1 species